GACGGAGGGGGCUAGCGUUGUUCGGAAUGACUGGGCGUAAAGGGCGCGUAGGCGGCCUAUGAAGUCAGACGUGAAAGCCUUGGGCUUAACCUGAGAAUUGCGUUUGAUACUGAUAGGCUAGAGGACGAGAGAGGAAAGUGGAAUUCCGAGUGUAGAGGUGAAAUUCGUAGAUAUUCGGAGGAACACCAGAGGCGAAGGCGGCUUUCUGGCUCGUACCUGACGCUGAGGCGCGAAAGCGUGGGGAGCAAACAGGAUUAGAUACCCUGGUAGUCCACGCGGUAAACGAUGAGUGCUAGAUGUUGGGUGUUAAAGCUCAGUGUCGCAGCUAACGCAUUAAGCACUCCGCCUGGGGAGUACGGUCGCAAGAUUAAA
rnacentral:rRNA from 1 species